AUGAACGCUGGCGGCGUGCCUAAUACAUGCAAGUCGCGCGAACAGACGAGGAGCUUGCUCCUCUGACGUUAGCGGCGGACGGGUGAGUAACACGUGGAUAACCUACCUAUAAGACUGGGAUAACUUCGGGAAACCGGAGCUAAUACCGGAUAAUAUAUUGAACCGCAUGGUUCAAUAGUGAAAGACGGUUUUGCUGUCACUUAUAGAUGGAUCCGCGCCGCAUUAGCUAGUUGGUAAGGUAUCGGCUUACCAAGGCAACGAUGCGUAGCCGACCUGAGAGGGUGAUCGGCCACACUGGAACUGAGACACGGUCCAGACUCCUACGGGAGGCAGCAGUAGGGAAUCUUCCGCAAUGGGCGAAGGCCUGACGGAACAACGCCGCGUGAGUGAUGAAGGUCUUCGGAUCGUAAAACUCUGUUAUUAGGGAAGAACAAAUGUGUAAGUAACUAUGCACGUCUUGACGGUACCUAAUCAGAAAGCCACGGCUAACUACGUG
rnacentral:rRNA from 1 species